UGAUAUUUAAUUUGGUUCUGGUUAUAAUUUUAAUUAAUUUUGGGAUUUAUAUACAUGUAAGGUUUUACUAUUGAUUAUAUUAUAGAUUGAUUAUAAUGGUUUAAAAUGCAGUGUUUAGUUUUAAAAAUAAAUUUGUUUUUGAUUUGGAUAUUCCCUAUUAUAUUGUAAUAUUUUGUGCCAGCAUACGCGGUUAUACAAAAAAUGUAAUUUAAUUUUAUUGGUUUAAUAGUAGUUAAUUUUUAUUUAUAAUUUAUUUUUUAAGUUUUUAGGUGAAAUUUAAAUUUUAAUUAAUUUUAUUUAGGUUCUUCUAAAUAUAAGCGGUAAACUAGGAUUAGAUACCCUAUUAUUUUAUAUGUAAAUAUUUAUACCUAGGUAAUAAUAGUUAUGUUCUUUAAACCUAAAGAAUUUGGCGGUGUUUUAAGUCUAUUCAGAGGAAUUUGUCCCGUAAUCGAUAAUCCCCGUUUUAUCUUACUUUAUUUUGUUUAAUUUUAUGUUCAGUUUGUAUACCGCCGUUAUAAGUUUAUUUUUUAAGAAUUAAAAUUUACUUUAUAUUUAUUUAAUAGUAUUUCAGGUCAAGGUGCAGCUAAUAGUUAAGUGGAGGUGAAUUACAAUAUUAUUAUUAAUAAUACGAAUUUAUAAUUGAGAUAAUUAUAUUGAAGGUGGAUUUGAUAGUAAUUUAAUUAAUAUUAAUUUUUUGAUUAUUUAGCUCUAAAAUAAGUACAUAUUGCCCGUCACUCUCAAUUAGUUGAGAUAAGUCGUAACAUAGUAGAUGUACUGGAAAGUGUAUCUAGUUAGU
rnacentral:ncRNA from 1 species